UCCGUAGGUGAACCUGCGGAGGGAUCAUUACCGAGUUAGGGUCCUCACAGGCCCGACCUCCCAACCCAUUGUUUAUGAUACUCAGUGUUGCUUCGGCAGGCCUGGUCUUUGACCUGCCGGAGGGCCGUAACACGCCCCCCGGAGAGCGCCUGCCGACGGCCCCAACUUCAAAAUUCUUAACUAAACAUGUCUUUGUCUAAGUAAAGUCUUUAAUAAAAGCAAAACUUUCAACAACGGAUCUCUUGGUUCUGGCAUCGAUGAAGAACGCAGCGAAAUGCGAUAAGUAAUGCGAAUUGCAGAAUUCUCGUGAGUCAUCGAAUCUUUGAACGCACAUUGCGCCCUUUGGUAUUCCGAAGGGCAUGCCUGUUCGAGCGUCAUUUUCACCCCUCAAGCCCCCGGCUUGGUGUUGGACGGUUUGGUCCCGGGACCCCCCUGGACCCCUCCCAAAGACAAUGACGGCGGGCUGUCGCACCCCCGGUACACUGAGCAUCUUCACGGAGCACGUACCGGUCUUCAGGGACGACGGCACCCGGUCUCACACCUAUAUCUUUCAAGGUUGACCUCGGAUCAGGUAGGAAUACCCGCUGAACUUAAGCAUAUCAAUAAGCGGAGGA
rnacentral:misc_RNA from 1 species